CCCAGACUCCCUGUCCCAGUUUCAGUCUCAGGCUUUGCUCUUUCUCCGCCGCAGCGCCAACACUUCCUCCGCCGCCUCCUUCCUCUGUUCCAAUUUUGGAGGCCAGCCAUAGCUAGAAAGUUCCAGUCUCCACCUCUGUAUGUUUUUUUUUCAUUCCCCAAUUCUUAAACUCGCCGGAGUUCCUGCAAAACACCGGAACUUCAGCAGAUAAACGUCAACCACGUGAUUGGAUAUAUGAAUUUCUCGAGGGUAGGACUCCUUUGGUGGUUUAGAUGAAACUUGUCUUCCGCAGUUGAGGCAAGCAAAGAAGAACAUUUUGUUACAUGGCAUUUGGAGGGCGAGGACAUAAUGGCUUUGGUCGUGGUGGCUUUCAUGCUGCCAAGCAAGUGAAAUUUGAACUAUUUCCAGUAACUAAAACUGAAUUUGUUGCCUUUUAUCAUAUGUCUUGUCUACCUAACUUUUCCUUUCUUGUAAGCUGCUUGAUCACCUUCUUGGUUGUGAAAAAUUUCUUUUCAAUUGAAUGAAUCUGAGCUGAUUGAAAAUAGAUUGAGUCUGUUAAGUCUUGUGGUGGGGCAGUGAAUUGUAAGCAUUUGAAAGGUACAAAGAAAGCGUAUCUGAAUCAGUGAUCAAUCAAUCUCUACGUUUACUUGCCUUUCAUCUUGUAAAGUAAUUGAAUUGAAAUCUAAGCUUAUCUGAAGAUUUUUUAUAAUUGGUUGUCUUGAGAAAAACCGGAAUUGAGAAUUAAAUCUCUUCAACUACUGUGGGCUUAGGGGUCCCAUGUCAUUUUUUUCUCUGAAUAAAAGUUUUGAGUUAAACUCUGUAAGAUCAAAUCAUCAAUAUCUGUAAUCUUAAUUAUUUACGCACCAAAAAGAAGCUUAAUUAUACUUGUUUACUUUUCACUGGUUGGUUCUGGGAACCAGUAAUUGACUAAUUGGUACCUAGGAUAGUUUUUUCUGUUUAAAAUGUUGUUUUUUUUUUGGUGGGGGGGGGGUACGGGCGCCAAAACCAGGACUUGAGAAAUAUUGAAACUUGUUUCCCACGAACCAGACUGUGCUAGAUUGUUAACACCGGAGUGAUGCUUCAAGGGCUUUAACUGGCUGUAAAGCCUCUCUUUUGCUUGCCUUUUGUAGAGUCUAAAGUUUCAUACUGAGUAAUUUUCAUGUGGCAGACAUGCAGAAGUUGGAUGUCUUUGAAAAGCUUGAGCAGAAGUGUCAGGGUCAAGAAAUAAAUGAGGAGGAGGGGGAUGAAGAGGAGGAAGAAGAUGAAAACGUUGAAGAGGAAGAAGAGGAGUAUAGUGAUGAUGGUGAUUAUAAUCUGGUAUUUGUAACAAUCAAGACUGUUAGCACUCACCCCCCCCCCCCCCAGUUCCCUGCCUGGGUGGAGGGGGAUGUGGGAUCAACUGUUAGCACGGCAAAUAUCAUAGAUGCAUGCAUCUGGUAUAGAUGCACCAAAACUCUGAAAAUUGUUGCAGAACAUUGAUUUUGAUGAUGACGAAGACGACUUUAACAUAAGCGAUGAUGAUGAUGGUGAACCAGAACUUUAGACAAUUGUAUUGUACUUGUAAAUGUCCUUAUCCAGCAUCCUUCUAGUUGGGACCAAAUUUUGCAGAGAAAGAAACAUCCUUGUCCUCUUGCAUAAAGCUGGAUUCAGGCGCUUGGAGAUUCACCAAAGUUUACUCCGUCAAAUCUUGAUGGUCCAGUUUUUCCAGUGUAUAGAGGCAUGCAUAGUUUUGUCUCGGUUGUAAGUUGUUGGAGGUGGGAGUGAGGGCUGGAGCUUUGCUUCAUUUUGAUAGCAUGAAAUGAAAUUGCACCUUGAAGUCAAAAAUUGUAGCGUCAUGCCGGAGGGCUUGAGAUACUCCUCGUAUUUUUGUACUCUUUAAUCCUUUAAUCCUGAUCUUGGGCGUUGGCAUGUGAUGUGAAGCCCCUAUAUUGAGUUA